rnacentral:tRNA from 1 species
GAGUGUAAAAGAAAUUAGUUUUGCAAAAACUGAUUAGAAUUAAUAAAUUCUACACUUU